GUCGAACGGUGAAGCCCAGCUUGCUGGGUGGAUCAGUGGCGAACGGGUGAGUAACACGUGAGCAAUCUGCCCCUGACUCUGGGAUAAGCGCUGGAAACGGCGUCUAAUACUGGAUACGAACCGUGGAGGCAUCUUCAACGGUUGGAAAGAUUUUUUGGUCAGGGAUGAGCUCGCGGCCUAUCAGCUUGUUGGUGAGGUAAUGGCUCACCAAGGCGUCGACGGGUAGCCGGCCUGAGAGGGUGACCGGCCACACUGGGACUGAGACACGGCCCAGACUCCUACGGGAGGCAGCAGUGGGGAAUAUUGCACAAUGGGCGAAAGCCUGAUGCAGCAACGCCGCGUGAGGGAUGACGGCCUUCGGGUUGUAAACCUCUUUUAGCAGGGAAGAAGCGAAAGUGACGGUACCUGCAGAAAAAGCGCCGGCUAACUACGUGCCAGCAGCCGCGGUAAUACGUAGGGCGCAAGCGUUAUCCGGAAUUAUUGGGCGUAAAGAGCUCGUAGGCGGUUUGUCGCGUCUGCUGUGAAAUCCCGAGGCUCAACUUCGGGUCUGCAGUGGGUACGGGCAGACUAGAGUGCGGUAGGGGAGAUUGGAAUUCCUGGUGUAGCGGUGGAAUGCGCAGAUAUCAGGAGGAACACCGAUGGCGAAGGCAGAUCUCUGGGCCGUAACUGACGCUGAGGAGCGAAAGGGUGGGGAGCAAACAGGCUUAGAUACCCUGGUAGUCCACCCCGUAAACGUUGGGAACUAGUUGUGGGGUCCAUUCCACGGAUUCCGUGACGCAGCUAACGCAUUAAGUUCCCCGCCUGGGGAGUACGGCCGCAAGGCUAAAACUCAAAGGAAUUGACGGGGACCCGCACAAGCGGCGGAGCAUGCGGAUUAAUUCGAUGCAACGCGAAGAACCUUACCAAGGCUUGACAUAUACGAGAACGCUGCAGAAAUGUAGAACUCUUUGGACACUCGUAAACAGGUGGUGCAUGGUUGUCGUCAGCUCGUGUCGUGAGAUGUUGGGUUAAGUCCCGCAACGAGCGCAACCCUCGUUCUAUGUUGCCAGCACGUAAUGGUGGGAACUCAUGGGAUACUGCCGGGGUCAACUCGGAGGAAGGUGGGGAUGACGUCAAAUCAUCAUGCCCCUUAUGUCUUGGGCUUCACGCAUGCUACAAUGGCCGGUACAAAGGGCUGCAAUACCGUGAGGUGGAGCGAAUCCCAAAAAGCCGGUCCCAGUUCGGAUUGAGGUCUGCAACUCGACCUCAUGAAGUCGGAGUCGCUAGUAAUCGCAGAUCAGCAACGCUGCGGUGAAUACGUUCCCGGGUCUUGUACACACCGCCCGUCAAGUCAUGAAAGUCGGUAACACCUGAAGCCGGUGGCCCAACCCUUGUGGAGGGAG
rnacentral:rRNA from 1 species